rnacentral:rRNA from 1 species
AGAGGUCCCAAGCGUUGUUCGGAUUCACUGGGCGUAAAGGGUGCGUAGGUGGUGGGGUAAGUCGGAUGUGAAAGCUCGGAGCUCAACUCCGAAAUGGCAUUGGAAACUACCCUGCUAGAGGAUUGGAGGGGGGACUGGAAUACUUGGUGUAGCAGUGAAAUGCGUAGAUAUCAAGUGGAACACCAGUGGCGAAGGCGAGUCCCUGGACAAUACCUGACACUGAGGCACGAAAGCUAGGGGAGCAAACAGGAUUAGAUACCCUGGUAGUCCUAGCCGUAAACGGUGCACGUUUGCUGUAAAAGGAAUCGACCCCUUUUGUGGCGUAGCUAACGCGUUAAACGUGCCGCCUGGGAAGUACGGUCGCAAGAUUA